GACGAAGGUGGCGAGCGUUGUUCGGAAUCACUGGGCAUAAAGCGCACGUAGGCGGUGGCGUAAGUCAGGUGUGAAAUCCCUCGGCCUAACCGAGGAACCGCGCCUGAUACUGCGUUGCUUGAGGACCAGAGGGGUGCACGGAAUUUCCGGUGGAGCGGUGAAAUGCGUAGAGAUCGGGAGGAACACCAGAGGCGAAGGCGGCGACCUGGACAGAUACUGACGCUCAACUACGAAAGCGUGGGUAGCAAACAGG
rnacentral:rRNA from 1 species